UACGGGGGGGGGCAAGCGUUGUUCGGAAUUACUGGGCGUAAAGGGCUCGUAGGUUGCCAACUAAGUCAGACGUGAAAUCCCUCGGCUUAACCGGGGAACUGCGUCUGAUACUGGAUGGCUUGAGUUCGGGAGAGGGAUGCGGAAUUCCAGGUGUAGCGGUGAAAUGCGUAGAUAUCAGGAGGAACACCGGUGGCGAAGGCGGGUCUCUGGGCAGUAACUGACGCUGGAGGAGCGAAAGCGUGGGGAGCGAACAGG
rnacentral:rRNA from 1 species